AACGGGUGAGUAACACGUAAGUAACCUGCCUUUAAGACGAGGAUAACAACCGGAAACGGUUGCUAAGACUGGAUAGGAAACAAAAAGGCAUCUUUUUGUUUUUAAAAGACCUUCUUACGAAGGUAUGCUUAAAGAGGGGCUUGCGCCACAUUAGUUAGUUGGUAGAGUAAAAGCCUACCAAGACGAUGAUGUGUAGCUGGACUGAGAGGUUGAACAGCCACAUUGGGACUGAGACACGGCCCAAACUCCUACGGGAGGCAGCAGUAGGGAAUUUUCGGCAAUGGAGGAAACUCUGACCGAGCAACGCCGCGUGAACGAUGAAGUAUUUCGGUAUGUAAAGUUCUUUUAUUGAAGAAGAAAAAGUAGUGGAAAAACUAUAUUGACGUUAUUCAAUGAAUAAGCCCCGGCUAACUAUGUGCCAGCAGCCGCGGUAAGACAUAGGGGGCGAGCGUUAUCCGGAAUUAUUGGGCGUAAAGGGUGCGUAGGCUGUUAGAUAAGUCUAUAAUUUAAUUUCAGUGCUUAACGCUGUCUUGUUAUAGAAACUGUCUUGACUAGAGUGAGAUAGAGGCAAGCGGAAUUCCAUGUGUAGCGGUAAAAUGUGUAAAUAUAUGGAGGAACACCAGAAGCGUAGGCGGCUUGCUGGGUCUUUACUGACGCUGAGGCACGAAAGCGUGGGUAGCAAACAGGAUUAGAUACCCUGGUAGUCCACGCCGUAAACGAUGAGUACUAAGUGUCGGGGUAAAACUCGGUACUGAAGUUAACACAUUAAGUACUCCGCCUGAGUAGUACGUACGCAAGUAUGAAACUUAAAGGAAUUGACGGGACUCCGCACAAGCGGUGGAUCAUGUUGUUUAAUUCGAAGAUACACGAAAAAUCUUACCAGGUCUUGACAUACUCUGCAAAGCUAUAGAAAUAUAGUGGAGGUUAUCAGGGAUACAGGUGGUGCAUGGUUGUCGUCAGUUCGUGUCGUGAGAUGUUAGGUUAAGUCCUAAAACGAGCGCAACCCUUGUCGUUAAUUGCCAGCACGUAAUGGUGGGGACUUUAACGAGACUGCCAAUUAAACAUUGGAGGAAGGUGAGGAUUACGUCAAAUCAUCAUGCCCCUUAUGAUCUGGGCUACAAACGUGAUACAAUGGCUGUGACAAAGAGUAGCUGAAACGCGAGUUUUUAGCCAAUCUCAAAAAAGCAGUCUCAGUUCGGAUUGAAGUCUGUAACUCGACUUCAUGAAGUUGGAAUCGCUAGUAAUCGCGAAUCAGCAUGUCGCGGUGAAUACGUUCUCGGGGUUUGUACACACCGCCCGUCAAACCACGAAAGUUAGCAAUACCCGAAAGCAGUAGCUUAACUUCGCAAGAAGAGGGAACUGUCUAAGGUAGGGUUGAUGAUUGGGGUUAAGUCGUAA
rnacentral:rRNA from 1 species